rnacentral:rRNA from 1 species
UACGGAGGGCGCAAACGUUGCUCGGAAUCAUUGGGCGUAAAGCGCACGUAGGCGGCCCGCUAAGUCGGAUGUGAAAUCCCUCGGCUCAACCGAGGACGUGCAUUCGAUACUGGCAGGCUUGAAUAUGGAAGAGGGUCGCGGAAUUCCCGGUGUAGAGGUGAAAUUCGUAGAUAUCGGGAGGAACACCAGUGGCGAAGGCGGCGACCUGGGCCAAUAUUGACGCUGAGGUGCGAAAGCGUGGGGAGCAAACAGG